GAUGAACGCUGGCGGCGUGCCUAAUACAUGCAAGUCGAGCGAACGGACGAGAAGCUUGCUUCUCUGAUGUUAGCGGCGGACGGGUGAGUAACACGUGGAUAACCUACCUAUAAGACUGGGAUAACUUCGGGAAACCGGAGCUAAUACCGGAUAAUAUUUUGAACCGCAUGGUUCAAAAGUGAAAGACGGUCUUGCUGUCACUUAUAGAUGGAUCCGCGCUGCAUUAGCUAGUUGGUAAGGUAACGGCUUACCAAGGCAACGAUGCAUAGCCGACCUGAGAGGGUGAUCGGCCACACUGGAACUGAGACACGGUCCAGACUCCUACGGGAGGCAGCAGUAGGGAAUCUUCCGCAAUGGGCGGAAGCCUGACGGAGCAACGCCGCGUGAGUGAUGAAGGUCUUCGGAUCGUAAAACUCUGUUAUUAGGGAAGAACAUAUGUGUAAGUAACUGUGCACAUCUUGACGGUACCUAAUCAGAAAGCCACGGCUAACUACGUG
rnacentral:rRNA from 1 species